AUUGAACGCUGGCGGGAUGCUUUACACAUGCAAGUCGAACGAGUGGCGGACGGGUGAGUAAUAUAUCGGAACGUGCCCAUUGGCGGGGGAUAACUACUCGAAAGAUUGGCUAAUACCGAAUACCAUUGCAGUGGCCUGUAUCGGAUUAGCUAGUGGGUGUGGUAAAGGCGCACCAAGGCAACGAUCCGUAGCUGGUUUGAGAGGAUGACGAGCCACACGGGAACUGAGACACGGCCCAGACUCCUACGGUAGGCACCAUUGGGGAAUUUUGGACAAUGGGGGAAACCCUGAUCCAGCAAUCCGGCUGGGAUAAGAAGGCCUCAGAGUUGUAAGGUACUUUUGGCAGAGAAGCGGUAUCUGCAGAAUAAGCACCGGCUAACUACGUGCCAGCCGCCGCGGUAAUUC
rnacentral:rRNA from 1 species